GGGCCCGUGGGGUAGCCUGGUAUCCUUUUGGCCUUGGGAGCCAGAGACUCCGGUUCAAAUCCGGGCGGGCCCA
rnacentral:tRNA from 1 species